UAGGCAGGUACAGAGGGAUGCUACCGGGCGACCGGAUGCGGAUCUCGAAAGCCUGUCCCAGUUCGGACUGGAGUCUGCAACCCGACUCCACGAAGUUGGAUUCGCUAGUAAUCGCGCAUCAGCCAUGGCGCGGUGAAUACGUUCCCGGGCCUUGUACACACCGCCCGUCAAGCCAUGGGAGUUGGGGGUGCCUGAAGUACGUGACCGCAAGGAGCGUCCUAGGGCAAAACCGAUGACUGGGGCUAAGUCGUAACAAGGUAUC
rnacentral:rRNA from 1 species